rnacentral:rRNA from 1 species
GAUGAACGCUAGCUACAGGCUUAACACAUGCAAGUCGAGGGACCGGCGCACGGGUGAGUAACACGUAUCCAACCUGCCCUUUACUCGGGGAUAGCCUUUCGAAAGAAAGAUUAAUACCCGAUAUAAAGGAUGGGGAUGCGUUCCAUUAGGUUGUUGGUGAGGUAACGGCUCACCAAGCCUUCGAUGGAUAGGGGUUCUGAGAGGAAGGUCCCCGACAUUGGAACUGCGGCCCGGUCCAAACUCGUAGGGGGCGGAGGAGUAAAGAAUAUUGGGCGAUGGGCGCUAGCCAGAACCAGCCAAGUAGCGUGAGGAAUGAAGGCGUAUGAGUCGUAAUCUUCUUUGAUAUAAGAAUAUGUAUUAUAUGAAUAAGGAUCGGCUAACUCCGUGCCAGCAGCCGCGGUAAUUC